GACAAUCUGUUCCAGCACAGACCUGGAAAAAGCAGAUGUUUGUCAGACUUCUUGGUCAUGAGCAAACAGCACGUUGCACCACGAGGAAUCUGAGGAUCAGAUCCAGCAAAGGACUCCUCCUCGCGUCUACUGCAGUGCUACACCCCUCGUCUCAUACUCCUCUGGAAGGCUUUGCUGUUUGAGAAAGCCCAACAGCUGUCUUUCCACGUCUGCAUAGGAUGUUUUUAACACGAAGUCUGAGCCUCAGAAGAUGCACAACAUGCUUUAAGCCUGCCUUCCUCCUAUCCUGUUACAGCAAUCCUACAUGAAGCAGUAACUAUGCUUUUAGUCACAGUUAUUCCUCACAGAGCUGUUUUUCACCAGGGUGACCUAAAAACACAGAGGUCCUUCGCUGACUUUAUUCACGGACAGUACACAGCUUCUUGCAGUAUGAUAAACUUGUGCUACAGAAAACACAAGCAACGUCUGAAGAAGUGGAAGAUGUCUCUAAGUACAGCAUGUCAAAACCAGACCAUCUACAUCCGUGCUCUACCCAGGUUCGAAUUUUAGGGAUUUUUUUAGCAGAAGGAACUGAAGGGACGUUGUGAUUCCUUUCUUACAACAUCUUUAGAAACCACUGGGGUGAGAAGAUUGAGGGUGUUCAAAAUGCUUUCCAGGAUAUACCAGAGGUUUCAAGAGUUGGUCUUUUAAGCCCAGAAGGGAUUAAAGGAAAUAUUCAGAGCUGCAUCUCAAAAAAGCUUUAGUUACAGAUUUAACCUCGUUUCUGGCAUUCACAGAUAAAUUGGUGCUCAACAGAGGCAUUCAGUACUGCGCGAUCCUUGAGGAAGAAGUGAUCUUAACAACUUGUAAUGGGAGAAGAGAUGGCUUAUAGAAUAAUCUCCUUUGGUUUAACAUUCCCACUAGGAAAAAUCCUGUCGACUGGUGCAGACUGUUCUGUCCUCCCCUUCUGUAAGUUAAAUUACAGUGUCACCAACACACGAGACGUGUACAAAGAACAUGCUUCUGAUGUGAAUUUCUGUAUGCAUCCUGAUGCACACAUACAAGCAUACUGAGCUUCGAAUCACAGCUGAACCCUAAAUACCAAAGUAGAUUGCUGAUAGCAUCACCAACCCUCUUUCAUGGCUCCAUUUAGGAACGGAUUACCUAAUUUCUGACCCAUCUGUUCCCCACUCCUUUUGAUGUGGCUUGUAACCCACAGGUGAGGAGCAAUUAUUACAGGGAGUGCUGCAACUGCAGCUGUGUCCAGCAGCAAACACAGGUGAACUGACUACUGCCACCAGCGUAUGAGUGGAGUCCAACCCUGAGCGGUCUCCAAUAUCUGUUUUUGUUGCACUAAUGAAAAACAACAACAACAACAACUAAACCACUAAAAUUGUUUGUAAGAUAGCUUGAACGUAACCUUCUCACCUCCUGUUUGGAAGUUACCUGCCUCUGUUCCCUUCCAAGGAAAGCCAAGCAAGCGACUCCUAGUUAUAUUGUGGAUGUCCGCAAGGAUCCAUUUAACUGUGACACCUUUCAGUGUGUGCUGCUUCAGCUUCAUAUUAACAUGGACUCUUCCUCCAGUGUACC
ensembl:lncRNA